rnacentral:rRNA from 1 species
UACGUAGGUGGCAAGCGUUGUCCGGAUUUACUGGGUGUAAAGGGAGCGCAGGCGGGAAAGCAAGUCAGUGGUGAAAUGCAUGGGCUUAACCCAUGAACUGCCGUUGAAACUGUUUUUCUUGAGUGAAGUAGAGGCAAGCGGAAUUCCGAGUGUAGCGGUGAAAUGCGUAGAUAUUCGGAGGAACACCAGUGGCGAAGGCGGCUUGCUGGGCUUUAACUGACGCUGAGGCUCGAAAGUGUGGGGAG